ACGAGUAUAAAAUGAGCGUGAGAAAGGACAAUUUUACACUUUCUUUCUGGAACAUUAAUCACUCUCCGUUGCUUCUGACUUCUGAGUAAACCAUUCAAUUUCGCAACCAAAAUUUUCCGAUCCCGAUCGGUCGUCACCGUCGAUCCACCGACAAUGGCGAAGCCAAUCGUCGACGUUGAGUAAUUGAAAGAAGUCGCGAAAGCUCGUCGAGAUCUCCGCGCUCUUAUCUCCAGCAAAAACUGUGCUCCUAUCAUGCUUCGAUAUGCGUAUACAUACACUCUCUCCGUCCUUCAUUUUGCUGAAUAAAACUACUUCGUUCGUCCAAAUAACAUGAGGAAUUCAGUUUAUUCGACUUACCUAAUUUCAUGUUUAAAUUCGUGAAUAAUUUAAAAUAAGUACAUGUGGAUGAACUACUUAGUAUUAAAUACGUACUUGUGUUUCUGUGUAGAUGGCACGAUGCAGGAACAUAUGAUUGUAAGUCGAAGACAGGAGGACCU
rnacentral:lncRNA from 1 species